CUGAGUACUUCUUGACUAGGUUUGUAGUUGACUAGUUGGUAUGAAUGAAUUGAUGGUAGGCUGUCAACCAUUCCUUACAAAAUAUGUGUACUGAUUUUAGUCUUAAAGUUGAUUUGGCAUUAUUUAUGGUGCGUUGUUUGAAUGAGUGCCUUUAUAAUCAUAUAAACAUUACAAGAUGAGAAAACAAAUGGAGGUGCAUUUGUUGGUGCUGAUGGUGUUCAGUUCCCUCACAAGUUAAUACUUAUAAGUUAUAAAAUUGAGUUGAGCUUGCUUUUUCCUUUUCUUGUGUCCUGGUUUAUUUUAGUGGAAAGGAUAAUAAACCAUGUUUCACAUUUACUAUUUUUAUUACAUAUACCAUUGUAUUCUCUUUUUGCUGAUAAUUGCAUUUAACUUAUGGCAGUUAUGUGUACCUGUUAAUAAAUAUGGCCAAUUUUAUAUAUGUGUUGUAUGUUAUGGAUGCAAAUUUUUUCAUAUAUAAUGUUGAAUGGGAGUUAUGUAUGCAAGCUUUUAUAUAUGUGUUACGUAUGUUAUGGUUGUAAGCUUUUUCUUAUAUAAUAUGGCCAAUUUUAUAGAGCUUCAUUUAGAUAAGGGCAAAUUCCAUUGACCCACCCCUCCCUGCAGUUUUGGAAAUUAGAAGUUGCUUUUUUUUUGUUUCACUUUUACAUAUAUAAUACUGAAUGAGAGUGGGGGCCGGGAAUUUGUAUGUCAUUUUUCUUUUAAAUUUUUUCUUUUUUAAGACAUAUUUGGUGGAAGUUCAAUAUAAAGGAAGUUAUAAUUUAUGAAACAAGACUAGUCAAUGUUAUUUCAUCAAAGAUCAAUUGCCAAUUUGGCAUAAUUUAUCUUA